CAAGAGGCUUAUGCCAAUGACUCAGGCUCCGGUAACAGGAUAUGGUAGAACUUACUAGCACUGUAGUAAGGAUCGUGCGAAUUUCGGUGCCACACAGGCAAUCUGCGUGUCCAAUGAUCUGACGACCCAGAUUUAAUUCCCCGUGCAUGAACGACUAAGAUGCAUUCUUUAGGCACGAUUGGACGGACAAGAUUAAUCGCGAUGAAUGUCCAGAUUCAUCCACGUAAUAGGCUUAAAAAAACAACGACCGGACGACUUUUCUCGCUCUACGUCAACAUGAAUGAACGGCCUACAUUGACGCGAGAUAAGUAUAUAAGCAUUGCGUUGCAUUGGAACCCUUACCCUAGCCGCACCUGUCCUCGUCAGAGAGGAAGGACCACUCGCUAGAGAAGGAGACUAACCCCCGGCCGCCGCACCACCAGAGCCAUUAGCUACUGCCAAAAAAGGAAAAAUUCUCCCCUACCUGUUCGAAAUUCGAUUAUAAGUUUUCAUGUAGCCAUAUCAGAGCAAAAUGGACGAUGGAUGAGCCAAAAAUCGUGGGCAAAGCCUAGUAGAGCUGUCGUAGCUGAAACCCUAAAACCCCUCCGAAGAGCCCCUUCCCGUUUCCCGUUUCACACAAUUUUCUGACAUUGUGUUCAUUGUCCCUUUUUGUACAAGUUAGCCGAAGAAGAAACUCUAGACGUGAAGGAGAACCGGUACAACUACUGCACCCGAAGACCCCCGUGUCAAUAGGUUCGAUUUUUUGUGAUUUUCUGGCCAAUCGAGGCCCCCUAACAUGGUUUUUUUUUUAUAGGAAUAUGUGUCAAAACCAACCAAACUGGCCAAGCUGAGGUGAACCACUGUCGUGGAUGGCAGAGUUGGUGAUUGAGCACGACGGCACUGCCGUGUCGGAACCUUAAAAUUAGCCAGAAAGGGUUUUUAACACCGAUUUUGGAUUUUUAGGGUAUUUUUAGGUACGUGACAAGUAUUUUGGAUUCUUGCAGAAAAAAU
rnacentral:lncRNA from 1 species